CUACCUCUUCGUCUAUGCCACGGCCGGACCCGACCCGACUCGAGCCGCCCUCCUCCGACCCUGUCUCCCUCCUCUGAUCUCCUCUACGACGAGCAACGCCCCCUCCCUCAUCCCCUUGGCACGAGAGCAGCGACCCCGCCGGCCCGCCGCUCGCCUUCUCCGGUGACGAGCCUCGCCUCGCCUCGCCUCGCAACCUCCUUCCUCCCCCAUCACCCUCCGUCCCGUCCAUCCCCAUAGCUGGCGAGAUGUUACGACCUCACCUCCCAGCCCCCUACUGCACAGAUCCACCCGUCCCUGCCCCAUGCUCCGUUCAUUUCGAUCCCAUCCCAUCCCAUCAUCUCUAGGGUUCGAUUUCGUUGCAGCUGGUGGAUCAGCUGGGAGUCCACAAGAUGCCCGCUCCCUACGUGUUGUCCCUGCAGCCAAAUGCGCCCUCACGGAAUCCGUUAGUUUUGAAUCUGAUGAUGUAUCUGCUCCCGAUUUUGUUUCGAGAUUUCGGCUUGACGUCGUGAGGAAAAAAAACAUUUCGCGACAAAUCCUUGUGGAUACUCGGCUUGUACCGUGAUUCCCUUUAAAUCCUCUCCAGUAUGAUUGUCUUGCUUGAUGUAAAUGCAAUUGCAAAUAUUCAAUUUGUCACCGGCAAGUUUGCCUCUGUUAUUUGCUGAUUUUGUGCUUAUCAUCACACAGGUCCAACUUUUUCCUAAAACAUACUGUACUAGCUUGUAUCUUCAAUGCAGAGUCCUGAAUAGCCCGCUGCCGGUAGGGGCAUUAACCAGCUUCCGAGGAAACCAUUCAGAGCCAGUCUUCUUCUGCAAGUUCCACUGUUGUACUAGGACGAAUCUCCUUCUUCGGCGACCGGCCUCCAUUCCAUCCCCCCACGCUACCAGACAGACGGCACUCGGCAGAUCUACACAGGCGGAGAUCCCUGUUUGUCUGCGGUCCUCCAUAGCCAUGUUUUAUCACUCUAGUUUCACUGACGAUGGCGGGAUCACAAAAGCCUGUGGGUAUCCUUUGCUUCCACUAAAAACUCAUAUCAAGGGCCCAGCCCCAGCCUCAGAUCCAGAUAAAGCGGAUAUAAUUGAUGAAGCGAUAACUUUCUUCCGAGCAAAUGUUUUCUUCAAAAACUUCCAUGUCAAAAGCCUAGCAGGCAAGUUGCUCAUCUAUCUGACAUCUUACAUCAAUAUUGCCUUGAAAUGACUAGAAAGCUGCCGGACACUGGCUGUUGGAAUUAAGGCAAUUAUUAACCUGGGGUUGGAAAAUGUUCCUGUGCCUGGGGAACCAGGGUUUCCUUUCCCUGGACUUUUCACUCUUCCCGAAUCCCAGGAGGAAGCAGAAUUGUUGAGGAACUAUCUGAAGCAGAUAAGGGAGGAAACAAGUGGGAGGCUGCUCAACUGUGCAUACAGAGCUAAUGGCACUCCAAACAAAUGGUGGUUGGCUUUUGCAAAGAGGAAGUUCAUGAACCUUGUUAUCCUUUAGAAUGUAAUUACGCAAUUAAGCAACAGGUUAGAGGUGUUUUUGUGUAUAUCCUUAUUUCACUCGCGCAUUUAUCAUAUGAUGAUGUAAAUAAUCUUUCUUCUGAACUAUUGAAGUAUACAAUGCCAAAAACAGUUUCUUGCAA